AUACUUACCUGGCAAGACAGAAUGCCAUGAUGAUAAGAAUGGCUUCUCUGGGCGAAGUUCUUCCAUCACUUUGUUUGGGUUGACUCCUGUGAUUUCCAAGAACAAGGGAAGUUUACUUGCCCACCUUACGGCUGCCUAGUAUAAAAGUAACAACUUGC